rnacentral:rRNA from 1 species
GACGAACGCUGGCGGCGUGCUUAACACAUGCAAGUCGAACGGAAAGGCCCUGCUUGCAGGGUACUCGAGUGGCGAACGGGUGAGUAACACGUGGGUGAUCUGCCCUGCACUUCGGGAUAAGCCUGGGAAACUGGGUCUAACACCGGAUAGGAGCCAUUUUUAGUGUGAUGGUUGGAAAGUUUUUUCGGUGUAGGAUGAGCUCGCGGCGUAUCAGCUUGCUGGUGGGGUAAUGGCCUACCAAGGCGGCGGCGGGUAGCCGGCCUGAGAGGGUGGACGGCCACAUUGGGACUGAGAUACGGCCCAGGCUCCUACGGGAGGCAGCAGUGGGGAAGAUUGCACAAUGGGCGCAAGCCUGAUGCAGCGACGCCGCGUGGGGGAUGACGGCCUUCGGGUUGUAAACUCCUUUCGCUAGGGACGAAGCUUUUUGUGACGGUACCUAGAUAAGAAGCACCGGCUAACUACGUG